rnacentral:rRNA from 1 species
GACGAACGCUGGCGGCGUGCUUAACACAUGCAAGUCGAACGGAAAGGCCCUGCUUUUGUGGGGUGCUCGAGUGGCGAACGGGUGAGUAACACGUGAGUAACCUGCCCUUGACUUUGGGAUAACUUCAGGAAACUGGGGCUAAUACCGGAUAGGAGCUCCUGCUGCAUGGUGGGGGUUGGAAAGUUUCGGCGGUUGGGGAUGGACUCGCGGCUUAUCAGCUUGUUGGUGGGGUAGUGGCUUACCAAGGCUUUGACGGGUAGCCGGCCUGAGAGGGUGAACGGCCCAAAUGGGGACGGGAUGCGGCCCAGGGGCCUACGGGGGGGAGGAGGGGGGAAUAUUGCACAAUGGGCGGAAGCCUGAUGCAGCAACGCCGCGUGCGGGAUGACGGCCUUCGGGUUGUAAACCGCUUUCGCCUGUGACGAAGCGUGAGUGACGGUAAUGGGUAAAGAAGCAACGGCUAACUACGUG